UACGAAGGGUGCAAGCGUUACUCGGAAUUACUGGGCGUAAAGCGUGCGUAGGUGGUGAGUUAAGUCUGUCGUGAAAGCCCCGGGCUCAACCUGGGAAUGGCGAUGGAUACUGGCUCGCUAGAGUGCGGUAGAGGAGAAUGGAAUUCCUGGUGUAGCGGUGAAAUGCGCAGAUAUCAGGAGGAAUACCGGUGGCGAAGGCGGCAUCCUGGACCGAGAUUGACACUGAUGAGCGAAAGCUAGGGGAGCAAACGGG
rnacentral:rRNA from 1 species